rnacentral:rRNA from 1 species
CGCCGCCGCGGGAAUACGUAGGUGGCAAGCGUUGUCCGGAAUUAUUGGGCGUAAAGGGCUCGCAGGCGGUUUCUUAAGUCUGAUGUGAAAGCCCCCGGCUCAACCGGGGAGGGUCAUUGGAAACUGGGAAACUUGAGUGCAGAAGAGGAGAGUGGAAUUCCACGUGUAGCGGUGAAAUGCGUAGAGAUGUGGAGGAACACCAGUGGCGAAGGCGACUCUCUGGUCUGUAACUGACGCUGAGGAGCGAAAGCGUGGGGAGCGAACAGGAUUAGAUACCCCAGUAGUCCCUGUCUCUUAUACA